rnacentral:rRNA from 1 species
CCUACGCGGGGCUGCAGUCGAGAAUCAUUCACAAUGGGGGAAACCCUGAUGGUGCGACGCCGCGUGGGGGAAUGACGGUCUUCGGAUUGUAAACUCCUGUCAUGUGGGAGCAAAUUAAAAAGAUAGUAUCACAAGAGGAAGAGACGGCUAACUCUGUGCCAGCAGCCGCGGUAAUACAGAGGUCUCAAGCGUUGUUCGGAAUCACUGGGGGUAAAGCGUGCGUAGGCGGGUUCGUAAGUGGUGUGUGAAAGGCGCGGGCUCAACCCGCGGACGGCACAUGAUACUGCGAGACUAGAGUAAUGGAGGGGGAACCGGAAUUCUCGGUGUAGCAGUGAAAUGCGUAGAUAUCGAGAGGAACACUCGUGGCGAAGGCGGGUUCCUGGACAUUAACUGACGCUGAGGCACGAAGGCCAGGGGAGCGAAAGGGAUUAGAUACCCCAGUAGUC